GGGGGUGUAGCUCAGUUGGUUAGAGCGCCUGCCUGUCACGCAGGAGGCCGCGGGUUCGAGUCCCGUCACUCCCG
rnacentral:tRNA from 1 species